rnacentral:tRNA from 1 species
AGAUCCGUAGCUCAGGUGGUUAGAGCGCUACACUGAUAAUGUAGAGGUCCCCAGUUCAAGUCUGGGCGGGUCUACAA